rnacentral:rRNA from 1 species
UGCAUGCAACGAGUUUUUUUUCCUGGGUCGAGAGGCCCGGGUAAUCUGUUGAACGUGCAUCGUGAUAGGGAUAGAUCAUUGCAAUUAUUGAUCUUGAACGAGGAAUUCCUAGUAAACGCGAGUCAUCAGCUCGCAUUGAUUACGUCCCUGCCCUUUGUACACACCGCCCGUCGCACCUACCGAUUGAAUCAUUCGGUGAGGAUUCCGGAUUCCGUAGCUUACGCUUCACGGCGUUUUUUACGAAAAAAGUUAUCCAAACCUCAUGAUUUAGAGGAAGGUGAAGUCGUAACAAGGUUUCCGUAGGUGAACCUGCGGAAGGAUCA